GGGAUACCCCCUGCUGAGUCUUUGGCCAUCGCCAACAGGCUUAAUUGCCGCAUGGGCUCAUUCCCCACAACCUACUUGGGGACGCCCAUUAGUGACUCCAGGCUUACCGUCGCGGACUUGCGCCCCUCCGUGGCCAAGCUUCAAACGCUCGUCGAGCCCUGGCAGGGGAGGUGGCUGCCCAAAGCGGCCCGGACUAUCCUCAUCAACUCUUCCCUCUCCAGCCUCCUCUUGUUUCUUAUGAGCUUCUACAGCCUCCACGAGACCCUUCACAAGGAGAUUGUCAAGAUCCAGUCCCGCUUUUACUGGGCGGGCGACAAUGAUAAGAAGAAGUAUCAUAUGGUCAGUUGGUCUGACAUUUGCAAGCUCCGGGAGCAAGGUGGCCUUGGCAUCAUGUGCUCUAAACGGAUGAACAUUGCCCUCCUCUCCCGCUGGCUUUGGCGAAUAUUGCAAGGACACGGUGGUCUUUGGCUUGACAUCAUCCGGAACAAAUACCUACGCGGACAGCCACUCGCCUUUUGCCAAAAGUCUGGAGGCUCUCAGUUCUGGCAGUCGAUCGUCCAGCUUCUUUCGGUUCUCCGUAUCGGGACCUUCAUCUCGGUGGGAUCUGGAACUUCGACGCUGUUCUGGUUUGAUCGUUGGGCCGAAGACACCCCCUUCGCGACUCGCUUCCCUGGCCUCUUCUCCAUCUCCGUCGCCCCCGUAAUCUCUGUUGAUAGGGCCCUUCUUGACUUAGGGCACCUUGCUUUCCGGCGGGCCUUUGGCCCCAUGGAAUCCGCCGCCUAG
rnacentral:rRNA from 1 species